AGCUUAACCUUUCGGGGAUGGCGAUGACCACGGUGUGGUUCAUGACUGGGGUGAAGUCGUAACAAGGUAGCCCUAGGGGAACCUGGGGCUGGAUCACCUCCUUACGUAAAGAA
rnacentral:rRNA from 1 species